ACGAACGCUGGCGGCGUGCUUAACACAUGCAAGUCGAGCGACGCUCUUCCUUCGGGAAGAUGACGGAGCGGCGAACGGGUGAGUAACACGUGGGCAACCUGCCCCUAGCUCUGGGACAACUCCGGGAAACCGGGGCUAAUACCGGAUACGACCUCUGAGGACAUCCUCGGCGGUGGAAAGUUUUUCGGCUAGGGAUGGGCCCGCGGCCUAUCAGCUUGUUGGUGAGGUAACGGCCCACCAAGGCGACGACGGGUAGCCGGCCUGGGAGGGCGACCGGCCACACUGGGACUGAGACACGGCCCAGACUCCUACGGGAGGCAGCAGUGGGGAAUAUUGCGCAAUGGGCGAAAGCCUGACGCAGCGACGCCGCGUGAGGGAUGAAGGCCUUCGGGUUGUAAACCUCUUUCAGCAGGGACGAAGCGAAAGUGACGGUACCUGCAGAAGAAGCACCGGCCAACUACGU
rnacentral:rRNA from 1 species